rnacentral:tRNA from 1 species
GGGCGAUUAGCUCAGAUGGUUAGAGUACUACCUUGACAUGGUAGGAGUCACUGGUUCAAAUCCAGUAUCGCCCA